CUGGUUUGGUUUACAAUUAUCAGAAUUUCAAGGAACUUGUUUUUUCCUUAAAAAAGUUUUGUUUAGAUGGGAAUAUGGGAUAAAAACUUAAAAAAAAGUGGUUGUAAAUUCUCUUCUUUUUGCGCCAAAAGUAUGUUCUAUUUUGUUGAGUUACAAAAACUAUAAAUACUGCUCAAGUCCUUGAAUCUUGAUUCGAUCCGUGGUGAAAAUCGAGUCCACUCUCGGAUUCAUUGGCUGUGGUGGAUUAAUAAGAACUCGAAGGGUCGGACUCUGCCGCCGGAGACCGGCGCCGCCAGCCAAGCCCAGCCGCCGGCUGCAGGAGAUGAAGCGCUCUCUCUCCGUCGUGGAGAUUUUCGUGCAGGUGCAUCAUGGAGAAUUACUAUGGAGAUUGAAUGAGAGGACCACUUUCUGAGAACCCAUUCCAAGGUUGCAAACCCGUCUUGCAGAUCGUUUCCUAAGGCAA